UUUUGUGGCUCUGUAAAAGAAAAUAAUAUGUUUUAUAUAGCCCGCCUAGUACCUGAGCUAGAAGAGCUGUGGGUACACGUAGGUACUGGUAAACACCACCAGUACCUUCCUUGUCACGAAAUAGCAAAAACUCUAGGUAAAAAAUAAUUAUAAAUUGUAUUUAUCUACGUUACGCCCUAGCCACUAGCUAGAAUAGAAUAGAAUGCACUGAGACUAUAACGCUAGGCGGGCUAUAUAAAACAUAUUAUUUUCUUUUACAGGGCCACAAAAAGCGAAAGUCAUCCCCCUGUUCCAUGCCUUCACAGGUUGUGAUACUGUGUCCUAUUUUAACGGGAAAGGAAAAAAAAGUGCAAUAGAUGCAUGGAACGCAUUUCCCAAUGCCACAGAAGGGUUUCUGGCAGCAUAUGAGGGGAGUACUAGCGAGGCGUUUACAGUAAUCGAAAAGUUUGUCGUCAUUUUAUAUGACAGAGCCAGUUCAUUUACAACCGUAAACGAAGCCCGAAAGCACCUAUUCUCGAAAAAAGACCGCCAAUUGGAGAAUAUACCUCCGACGAAAGCUGCUCUAUACCAGCAUUUCCUGCGGGCAGUGUUCCAAGCAGUCCAUGUAUGGGGUCAGAUGUCACCGAAUCAAAAUCUUCCCUGUCCAUCUAACUGGGGAUGGAGAAAAGUCAGUGAAAGCUGGCAACCUACAUGGACAGACUUGCCCGUAGCUGCAGAUGCAUGCCUGGAAAUGAUCCGGUGCAGAUGCAAAAAGAGGUGCGGCGGCUCGAGGUGCCGGUGCUUUCAGCGGCAACUUAAGUGCACGGAGCUUUGCGAUUGUGGGGGACAAUGUAAAUAAUAAACAUUUUUAAGUAAAAUUCUA